rnacentral:rRNA from 1 species
GAAUUUUAUAUAAAAUCUUAUGAAUAACAUAUGUUUGAAUUUAUUGUAUAUAAGGUUUUAUAUUUUGUUGGGAGGAUAAUUAAAUUUGUAAAACUUUAUAUAAAUUAUUACAUUAAUUUAUGAAAAUUUAGAAUUAAAUUUAUAUUAUUAGAAUUAAUUACCUUAGGGAUAACAGCGUUAUAUUUUUGGAAAGAUCAUAUUGAUAAAAAUUAUUGC